UGAUAGUUAAUAUAAAGUCUGACCUGCCCACUGAUUAAAUUAAAUGGCCGCAGUAUUUUAACUGUGCAAAGGUAGCAUAAUCAUUAGUCUUUUAAUUGAAGGCUUGUAUGAAUGGUUGGACGAAACGUGGACUGUCUCAUAUAAAAUUUAUAAUAGAAUUUUAUUUUUUAGUUAAAAAGCUAAAAUAAAGUUAAAAGACGAGAAGACCCUAUAGAUCUUUAUAUUUUACAUAUUUAUUAUUAUUUAGAUGAUUUAAUUAUUAAUUAUGUCAAUUAUUUUGUUGGGGUGACAUUAAAAUUUAUUUAACUUUUAUAAAAAUUUAAUACAUUAAUUUAUGGUUUAUUGAUCCACUAUUAGUGAUUAUAAAAUUAAGUUACCUUAGGGAUAACAGCGUAAUCUUCUUGGAGAGUUCAUAUCGAUAAGAAGGGUUGCGACCUCGAUGUUGGACUAAAAUAAAUUCUGGAUGUAGCAGUUUGGGAUAUUAAGUCUGUUCG
rnacentral:rRNA from 1 species